rnacentral:rRNA from 1 species
GACGAACGCUGGCGGCGUGCUUAACACAUGCAAGUCGAACGGAAAGGCCCUGCUUUUGUGGGUUGCUCGAGUGGCGAACGGGUGAGUAACACGUGAGUAACCUGCCCUUGACUUUGGGAUAACUUCAGGAAACUGGGGCUAAUACCGGAUAGGAGCUCCUGCUGCAUGGUGGGGGUUGGAAAGUUUCGGCGGUUGGGGAUGGACUCGCGGCUUAUCAGCUUGUUGGUGUGGUAGUGGCUUACCAAGGCUUUGACGGGUAGCCGGCCUGAGAGGGUGAACGGCCACAUUGGGACUGAGAUACGGCCCAGAAGCCUACGGGAGGCAGCAGUGGGGAAUAUUGCACAAUGGGCGGAAGCCUGAGGCAGCAACGCCGCGUGCGGGAUGACGGCCUUCGGGGUGUAAACCGCUUUCGCCUGUGACGAAGAGUGAGUGACGGUAAUGGGUAAAGAAGCACCGGCUAACUACGUG